rnacentral:rRNA from 1 species
CCUACGGGUGGCUGCAGUGGGGAAUAUUGCACAAUGGGGGAAACCCUGAUGCAGCAACGCCGCGUGAGUGAAGAAGUAUUUCGGUAUGUAAAGCUCUAUCAGCAGGGAAGAAACCCACCCUCCGGGGUGGCUGACGGUACCUGACUAAGAAGCCCCGGCUAACUACGUGCCAGCAGCCGCGGUAAUACGUAGGGGGCAAGCGUUAUCCGGAUUUACUGGGUGUAAAGGGAGCGUAGGUGGCAAGGCAAGUCAGAUGUGACAACCCGGGGCCCAACCCCGGGAGUGCAUUUGAAACUGUACGGCUGGAGUGCAGGAGAGGUAAGUGGAAUUCCUAGUGUAGCGGGGAAAUGCGUAGAUAUUAGGAGGAACACCAGUGGCGAAGGCGGCUUACUGGACUGUAACUGACGUUGAGGCUCGAAAGCGUGGGGAGCAAACAGGAUUAGAUACCCUGUAGUC